rnacentral:rRNA from 1 species
AUUGAACGCUGGCGGUAUGCUUAACACAUGCAAGUCGAACGGUAACAGGCCUUCGGGCGCUGACGAGUGGCGGACGGGUGAGUAACGCGUAGGAAUCUGCCUCAUAGUGGGGACAACGUGGGGAAACUCACGCUAAUACCGCAUACGCCUACGGGGAAAGCGGGGACCGUUCGGGCCUCGCGCUAUGAGAUGAGCCUGCGUUAGAUUAGCUAGUUGGUAGGGUAAAGGCCUACCAAGGCGACGAUCUAUAGCUGGUCUGAGAGGACGAUCAGCCACACUGGGACUGAGACACGGCCCAGACUCCUACGGGAGGCAGCAGUGGGGAAUAUUGGACAAUGGGCGCAAGCCUGAUCCAGCAAUACCGCGUGUGUGAAGAAGGCCUUAGGGUUGU